rnacentral:rRNA from 1 species
AUUGAACGCUGGCGGCAGGCCUAACACAUGCAAGUCGAGCGGAUGAAGGGAGCUUGCUCCUGGAUUCAGCGGCGGACGGGUGAGUAAUGCCUAGGAAUCUGCCUGGUAGUGGGGGAUAACGUCCGGAAACGGGCGCUAAUACCGCAUACGUCCUGAGGGAGAAAGUGGGGGAUCUUCGGACCUCACGCUAUCAGAUGAGCCUAGGUCGGAUUAGCUAGUUGGUGGGGUAAAGGCCUACCAAGGCGACGAUCCGUAACUGGUCUGAGAGGAUGAUCAGUCACACUGGAACUGAGACACGGUCCAGACUCCUACGGGAGGCAGCAGUGGGGAAUAUUGGACAAUGGGCGAAAGCCUGAUCCAGCCAUGCCGCGUGUGUGAAGAAGGUCUUCGGAUUGUAAAGCACUUUAAGUUGGGAGGAAGGGCAGUAAGUUAAUACCUUGCUGUUUUGACGUUACCAACAGAAUAAGCACCGGCUAACUUCGUGCCAGCAGCCGCGGUAAUACGAAGGGUGCAAGCGUUAAUCGGAAUUACUGGGCGUAAAGCGCGCGUAGGUGGUUCAGCAAGUUGGAUGUGAAAUCCCCGGGCUCAACCUGGGAACUGCAUCCAAAACUACUGAGCUAGAGUACGGUAGAGGGUGGUGGAAUUUCCUGUGUAGCGGUGAAAUGCGUAGAUAUAGGAAGGAACACCAGUGGCGAAGGCGACCACCUGGACUGAUACUGACACUGAGGUGCGAAAGCGUGGGGAGCAAACAGGAUUAGAUACCCUGGUAGUCCACGCCGUAAACGAUGUCGACUAGCCGUUGGGAUCCUUGAGAUCUUAGUGGCGCAGCUAACGCGAUAAGUCGACCGCCUGGGGAGUACGGCCGCAAGGGUA